UACAGAGGUCCCGAGCGUUGUUCGGAUUCACUGGGCGUAAAGGGCGCGUGGGUGGGUUGGCAAGUUUGAUGUGAAAGCCCCGGGCUUAACCCGGGAAUGGCAUUGAAUACUGCUGAUCUGGAGGAUCGGAGGGGGGACUGGAAUUCUUGGUGUAGCAGUGAAAUGCGUAGAUAUCAAGAGGAACACCAGUGGCGAAGGCGAGUCCCUGGACGAUACCUGACACUGAGGCACGAAAGCCGGGGGAGCAAACAGG
rnacentral:rRNA from 1 species